AUUGAACGCUGACGGCAGGCCUAACAAAUGCAAGUCGAGCGGAGCGGCGGACGGGGGAGUAAUGCCUAGGAAUCUGCCUGGUAGUGGGGGAUAACGUCCGGAAACGGGAGCUAAUACCGCAUCCUAGCAAGUGAGCCUAGGUAGGAUUAGCUAGUUGGGGGGGUAAAGGCCUACCAAGGCGACGAUCCGUAACUGGUCUGCGAGGAUGAUCAGUCACACUGAAAAGGAGACACGGUCCAGACUCCUACGGGAAGCAGCAGUGGGGAAUAUUGGACAAUACGCGAAAGUCUGAACCACCCAUGCCCAGUGAGUGAAGAAGGUCUUUGGAUUUGAAAUCACUUUAAGUUGAGAAGCGUUACCAACAGAAUAAGCACCGGAUAACUUCGUGCCAGCAGCCGCGGUAAUAC
rnacentral:rRNA from 1 species